rnacentral:rRNA from 1 species
ACUCUGACCAGCCAUGCCGCGUGCAGGAAGACGGCCCUAUGGGUUGUAAACUGCUUUUAUACAGGAAGAAACAGUCGUACGUGUACGGCCUUGACGGUACUGUAAGAAUAAGCACCGGCUAACUCCGUGCCAGCAGCCGCGGUAAUACGGAGGGUGCAAGCGUUAUCCGGAAUCAUUGGGUUUAAAGGGUCCGCAGGCGGUCAAUUAAGUCAGAGGUGAAAUCCCGUCGCUCAACGACGGAACUGCCUUUGAUACUGGUUGACUUGAAUUAUACGGAAGUAGAUAGAAUAAGUAGUGUAGCGGUGAAAUGCAUAGAGAUUACUUAGAAUACCGAUU